rnacentral:lncRNA from 1 species
AGAGCGCGUGUGGCCGCCGAGCACAUGGACCCACUGGUCAAGCGGGCUCGGCAAGGCCAGGAUGAAGAGAAGCUACGAACUUAGCAUUCCCAGAGCCCCCCGAGUGGAUAUCCGCGUGGAAAGGAUGUUGGCAGCCCCGGUGACCUCGGAGUCACGGCUGGAUCCACCCUCUUGUCUGAUUUUCUUAACUCUACUACGGUAAGAAGAUGCCCUCCAUCAGCAGGCCGUGUCUGCUGGGACCUCUCUGGAGACUUCCUGAACCCUGUGGAUUUACAGUAAGAUGCAGUUUCCUGGGGAGUAAUUCUGGUGGAUACAAAUUCCGGAGUAUUACACCUGGCUUGCCUGGAGAUGUUACAAGUAGCUGGAUGGAUUCUUCAGCCUGGAUGCCCACUGAAAACAAGGACCGAAACUAAGAGGAUUGUAUCUCUACCCUUGACUCAAUGAGAAUGUUUGUUGUCAUCUCUCGGGCUACCUGGAGCUCCCUCUAAAAUGGGCUGGGACACUGCCUGAUUGAGGUGGCCAUUGAGAAUUCAAGUGUACCUCUUGGUCCCUGAUGCAGAAAUGAAGUCCCCAGCAUGCUCAAGAAGAGCUUCCUUGGAGGAUGAGAGGCAUGGGAAUCUAAGUAUACCCUUUAAGCGUUCCAGAAGGAUUUUGAGAUCCUUUCCUAAAUCAAAGGUGGAAUAUUUGGGGAUUUGGAAAAUUGAGAAGCCAGUCUCUCAGAAGAACCAGUUGUGUUACUUUGCUGUGAGAUGCCUGCCCUAAGAGAGGAGCAGAAGGUCGGAACGGGUCCUCUAAUGUGAUAAUUAGGUGGACUGGAAGCAGCUGGCUCACUUUGCAGGAUGUUGGAACCCCCAGACUGCUGUAGAUAUGGAAAGAAGACACUGAGUGGUGGGGAAGGCAUGGGGAGAUGCUCUGAGGCUUCAGAGAAAUCAGGAGCGGUGAAUGAUCGAAAUGGACCUUUGAGAUUACAGUGUGGAGCUGACAUUGCCAGUUAAGCCUGGGCAGAUCUGACUUAAUUGAUUUAGUUGUUGGAGCAGAGACAACCCAGAGGCUUGGAUCAGCCUCCCCAUCUGACAGUGUGCUGAUGUGAAGCGUUGACUUAAGAGAUGCCAAGUAACUCAGCAGAUGUCACACAGACGAUAAAUAGCAAAGAUGGAAGUCUUCAUGCCGGAGGCAAUCCUAUAAGACAGCUGAGUUCUGCAGAGCUGGUAGGAGACAGACUUGCUCAGGUGAUAGAUCCAGCCAUGAUACUGACCCUAAGAGAAUGAGACGCUCUGCAGAAGACAGAAGAUUCCUGAAACUGGGAAAGGUGCCUAGAAAUCCUGAUAAGAGUGAAGAAGGAGCUGGCAGAGCAGCCUUCCUCCGCACUAUGAAAGACAUCCAACAGAGAGCAAGUUCCCACCUCACUUCCAGCUUGACUCCUUUUUAUCUCCUAACUGUGGUCUGUGAUGUCUUCAGCAAUGGGUACCUGGAGGCACAGCAGCCAUGUUGAACCUAUGAGGUGAUGAAAAACCAUGCAACUAGAAACCAGAAUGGAAGAAAAGAAGAAGCUGGAUCCUUGACUGAAUUGUCGAUGGGGGAUAGUCCAUCAUCCCAGGGCUAAGACCACCUCCAGAUUUCUUGUUUGGUGAAACAAGUCCUGAUUGUUUACAUUCCCUCGUGUUGAGCUGUCUCUUGCUUGUAGCUGAAAGCAUUUCUAAUAGAUAUUCAGAUUAUCAGCCUUAGCUCCAAGCUAGAAUACUCUAUGGGACCUUAGCUUCUCCAUGAAUUCCUUUGCUCAUCUGUGUAAUGCUCAAUAAAUGUAAAUUGAACCCUGAAUGAGGGACAAUGACA